AAUCACCGGCGGGAUACGCCAGAACCACUUGGAGGACACUCUGGGAUGACCUGCCAGGCAUGCUGGAACCACCUCUCGGGCGUGCCAGGACCACGUGGCGGACAGUCCGGAAUCACAUGUUGGUCAUGCGCAAUCCCCUCUGAGACCUACCAGAACCACGUGCCAUGCACGCCAGAACCACCUACCGGACAGACCGGAAUCACCUUUCGGGCAUGCCGCAACCACCUGUCAGAUGUGCCAGAAACACGUGCCGGAGAUGCCGGAAGCACCCGCCGAGCAUGUCGGAACCACCUGCUCUACUCGCAGGACCCACGUGCCGGACACGCCAAAAUGAACUGCUGGCUACGCCAGAACCACAUACCCGAUACUCCAGAAUCACCUGCCCGGCAUGCCAGAAUUACCUCUCCGACGUGCCAGAAGCACGUGCUGGACAUGCCGGAACGACCUAUUGGACACAACGGAACCACCUGCCAGACAUGCCGGAACCACCUGCCGAACACGCCACAGCCACCUGCUCGACUCGCCAGAACCACCUGCCAGAGAGGCCAAUAUCAACUGCUGGCUAGGCCAGAACCACCUGGGGGACAGUCCGGAAUCAUCGCCAGCCAAGGCGGAACCACCUCUCAGAUGUACCAGAACCACGUGCCGGACAAGCUGGAAACACGUACUGGACAGACUGGAACCACCUACCGGCCAUGCCUGAACCACUGCCGAGCACGACGGAACCACCUACCGGACACGCCAAAAUCACCUGCGGGCUACACCAGAACCACUUGGAGGACUCUCUGGAAUGACCUGCCAGGCAUGAUGGAACCAUCUCUCAGAUGUCCAAGAACCACGUGGCGGACAGUCCGGAAUCACCUGUUGGGCAUCGCAACCACCUCUGAGAUGUACCAGAACCACGUACGUCAGGCUGGAACCACCUAAAGGACAGACCGGAAUCACGUUUCGGGCAUGCCGGAACCACCUGUCAGAUGUGCCAGAAACACGUGCCGGAGACGCCAGAAGCACCUGCGAGCACGUCGGAACCACCUGCUCAACUCGCCUGAACAACCUGCCAGACACGCCAAAAUCACCUGCCAGCUAUGCCAAAACCACUUGGUGGACUCU
rnacentral:lncRNA from 1 species